UACGGGGGGAGCAAGCGUUGUUCGGAUUUACUGGGCGUAAAAGGGCGCGGUAGGCGGAUCGUGACAAGUCACUUGUGAAAUCUCCGGGCUUAACGUCGGAACGGUCAAGUGAUACUGUCGGACUAGAGUACAGAAGGGGCAACUGGGAAUUCUCGGUGUAGCGGUGAAAUGCGUAGAUAUCGAGAGGAACACCUGCGGCGA
rnacentral:rRNA from 1 species